rnacentral:misc_RNA from 1 species
GAGUAAGGGUGCUCAGCGCCCGACCUCCAACCCUUUGUUGUUAAAACUACCUCGUUGCUUUGGCGGGACCGCUCGGUCUCGAGCCGCUGGGGAUUCGUCCCAGGCGUGCGCCCGCCAGAGUUAAACCAAACUCUUGUUAUUAAACCGGUCGUCUGAGUUAAAUUUUGAAUAAAUCAAAACUUUCAACAACGGAUCUCUUGGUUCU